rnacentral:rRNA from 1 species
GAUGAACGCUAGCGAUAGGCUUAACACAUGCAAGUCGAGGGGCAGCACAAGGUAGCUUGCUAUCUGGGUGGCGACCGGCGCACGGGUGCGUAACGCGUAUGCAACUUGCCCUAUACAGGAGGAUAACCCGUCGAAAGACGGACUAAUACUGCGUAUGCUCACAACUUGGCAUCAAGUGGUGAGGAAAGAAAUUCGGUAUAGGAUAGGCAUGCGUCCCAUUAGCUUGUUGGUGAGGUAACGGCUCACCAAGGCAAUGAUGGGUAGGGGAACUGAGAGGUUUAUCCCCCACACUGGUACUGAGACACGGACCAGACUCCUACGGGAGGCAGCAGUGAGGAAUAUUGGUCAAUGGGCGCGAGCCUGAGCCAGCCAAGUCGCGUGAAGGAUGACUGUCUUAUGGAUUGUAAACUUCUUUUAUACGGGAAUAACAAGAGUCACGUGUGACUCCCUGCAUGUACCGUAUGAAUAAGCAUCGGCUAACUCCGUG